UAUGGGGGCUAUACCGAAAGUGUUCCACCUGAUACCAUUCCGAACUCAGAAGUGAAAUCUUUCAAGGCCGAUGAUAGUGGGUUUUUCCUGUGAAAGUAGGAAGUCCCCAUAU
rnacentral:rRNA from 1 species